rnacentral:tRNA from 12 species
GCGGAUGUGGUGGAAUUGGUAGACACGCUAGAUUUAGGUUCUAGUGCCUUAGCGCGUGGGAGUUCGAGUCUCCCCAUCCGCACCA